AUUGAACGCUGGCGGCAGGCCUAACACAUGCAAGUCGGACGAGUGGCGGACGGGUGAGUAAUGUAUGGGGAUCUGCCCGCUGGAGGGGGAUAACUACUGGAAACGGUAGCUAAUACCGCAUACCAUCAGAUGAACCCAUAUGGGAUUAGCUUGUAGGUGGGGUAACGGCUCACCUAGGCGACGAUCCCUAGCUGGUCUGAGAGGAUGACCAGCCACACUGGGACUGAGACACGGCCCAGACUCCUACGGGAGGCAGCAGUGGGGAAUAUUGCACAAUGGGCGCAAGCCUGAUGCAGCCAUGCCGCGUGUAUGAAGAAGGCCUUCGGGUUGUAAAGUACUUUCAGCGAGGAGGCGUUACUCGCAGAAGAAGCACCGGCUAACUCCGUGCCAGCAGCCGCGGUAAUAC
rnacentral:rRNA from 1 species